rnacentral:rRNA from 1 species
CACGUAGGGCGCAAGCGUUGUCCGGAAUUAUUGGGCGUAAAGAGCUUGUAGGCGGUUUGUCGCGUCUGCUGUGAAAUUUCGGGGCUCAACCCCGAACUUGCAGUGGGUACGGGCAGACUAGAGUGUGGUAGGGGAGACUGGAAUUCCUGGUGUAGCGGUGAAAUGCGCAGAUAUCAGGAGGAACACCGGUGGCGAAGGCGGGUCUCUGGGCCGAUACUGACGCUGAGGAGCGAAAGCGUGGGGAGCGAACAGG